rnacentral:tRNA from 1 species
UAUACUUUAAUGUAAUUGCAUAAAAAUUUUUGAUAUUUUUAGUAAUAAUUUAUUAUUAUGUAUAA